rnacentral:rRNA from 1 species
GGGUCAGUAGGUUGGUCGUGCCACCGGUACGUACUGGUCUCACUGAUUCCUCCUUCCUGAAGAACCGUAAUGCCAUUAAUUUGGUGGUGCGGGGAAACAGGACUGUUACUUUGAAAAAAUUAGAGUGUUUAAAGCAAGCUAGCGCUUGAAUACAUUAGCAUGGAAUAAUGAAAUAGGACGAUCGAUCCUAUUUUGUUGGUUUCUAGGAUUGACGUA